rnacentral:rRNA from 1 species
ACGCUGGCGGCGCGCUUAAUACAUGCAAGUCGAACGAGAAGCCAGAGCUUGCUCUGGUGGAAAGUGGCGAACGGGUGAGUAACACGUGAGAAACCUGCCCCAAAGAUUGGGAUAAGCCUUGGAAACGAGGUCUAAUACCAAAUACCUUCUUUUUAACACAUGUUAAAAGAAGAAAUGCUCCGGCGCUUUGGGAUGGUCUCGCGAUCUAUCAGCUUGUUGGUGAGGUAACGGCUCACCAAGGCAUCGACGGAUAGCUGGUCUGAGAGGAUGUCCAGCCACAUUGGAACUGAGACACGGUCCAAACUCCUACGGGAGGCAGCAGUAGGGAAUCUUGCACAAUGAGGGAAACCUUGAUGCAGCGACGCCGCGUGCGGGACGAAGGCCCUAGGGUUGUAAACCGCUUUCAGUAGGGACGAAAGUGACGGUACCUACAGAAGAAGCCCCGGCCAACUAUGUG